AUUGAACGCUGGCGGCAUGCUUUACACAUGCAAGUCGAACGGUAACAGGGAGCUUGCUCCGCUGACGAGUGGCGAACGGGUGAGUAAUGCGUCGGAACGUGCCGAGUAGUGGGGGAUAACGCAGCGAAAGUUGUGCUAAUACCGCAUACGUACUGAGGGAGAAAGUGGGGGACCUUCGGGCCUCACGCUAUUCGAGCGGCCGACGUCUGAUUAGCUAGUAGGUGAGGUAAAGGCUCACCUAGGCGACGAUCAGUAGCGGGUCUGGGAGGAUGACCCGCCACACUGGGACUGAGACACGGCCCAGACUCCUACGGGAGGCAGCAGUGGGGAAUUUUGGACAAUGGGCGAAAGCCUGAUCCAGCCAUGCCGCGUGUCUGAAGAAGGCCUUCGGGUUGUAAAGGACUUUUGUCGGGGAGGAAAUCCCCAGCGUUAAUACCGCUGGGGGAUGACAGUACCUGAAGAAUAAGCACCGGCUAACUACGUGCCAGCCGCCGCUGUAAUAC
rnacentral:rRNA from 1 species